GAUGAAGAAUGCAGCGAAAUGCGAUAAGUAAUGUGAAUUGCAGAAUUCAGUGAAUCAUCGAAUCUUUGAACGCACAUUGCGCCCCUUGGUAUUCCGAGGGGCAUGCCUGUUCGAGCGUCAUAUUAACCACUCCCGCUUGCGGGGUCUUGGGCUUCGCCUCCGGGCGGGCCUUAAAAUCAGUGGCGGUGCCGUCGGGCUCUACGCGUAGUAAAUUUUCUCGCGAUAGGGUCCCGGUGGAUGCUUGCCAACAACCCCCAACUUCUUAAAGUUGACCUCGGAUCAGGUAGGGAUACCCGCUGAACUUAAGCAUAUCAAUAAGCGGAGGA
rnacentral:misc_RNA from 1 species